rnacentral:snRNA from 1 species
AUCAUUCCUUGGCCUUUUGGUUGAGGUCAAGUAUAAUAGUUGAUCUUAUCAGUUUGAUACCUGAUAUAUCCUCUCUUUGAGGACAGCAUAUUAAAAGGAUUUUGUUUGUUUGUUUCCGGGCCACACCCAGCUGUGCUCAGGGCUGACUCUCAGCUCUCCGCUCAGAGGUCACUCCUGGUGAGGCGUGGGACCAAAU